rnacentral:rRNA from 1 species
AGCGUAGACGGACUGGCAAGUCUGAUGUGAAAGGCGGGGGCUCAACCCCUGGACUGCAUUGGAAACUGUUAGUCUUGAGUGCCGGAGAGGUAAGCGGAAUUCCUAGUGUAGCGGUGAAAUGCGUAGAUAUUAGGAGGAACACCAGUGGCGAAGGCGGCUUACUGGACGGUAACUGACGUUGAGGCUCGAAAGCGUGGGAGCAAACA